UCUCUGCUUUUCAUUUAUGUAAUUUUAAUGUUCUGGCCCAAUUUUGUCCUUCUUCUAAGGAAAAUGGCUUGCAGGCAGAGCCCUUUGAUCCUCGGUUUCACCCUGCAAUCGGUACUGGCUGAGCUCUGGGAUCUAUUUGUGCUGGAAAUGCGACCGGCUCUUCGUAACACUGUGUUGCUACUUUCAUGAAUGAGUAAGGCAGCGUUGCCAAGUAGGCAUGCUUCGUUUUUGCCUUUACUUAUUUAUUUUUUUAAUGAAUAUGCCCGGAUUUCAUUAUUAAACCCUGUGGCAGCUGUGUGAAGACAUGUUUUCCAUGGGUGUACCCUGACAUAUCUCAGUAAAGCGUGAUUUCUGGAGAGGAUAAUGUGUGCUAGCACUGUGAUUCUAGCUGAACCACUUACCGGAUGAGUGGGAAGACCAAGCUAUUCUUACAGCAAGCUCCUGGGGCUGAGAGAAGCGUGUGCCAGCUGUAUUAUUAUGCCUCUAAUUAUUUAUUUUAGUUUGCAGAAUGUCACGUGCAAACUGCACCUGAAACGUUUUAUGGUAUAAAAGCUCAGCUUCGUGCAGACAUCCCAAUUCACAGCCCAGAGUUGCUGCCUGCUGGAGGAGCUCUGUGAUUCCUGGGAAAGCUUUUGGGGUCUGCGGGUUUGAAGGUCACUUGGCCAAGGGAACGGGGCACCCUGGCUCUGUCCCAUUGGAAGUAGUGAGGCAUCAAGGUUAGCCUUUAAAUCCGGUUGGAAAUUAAAGCAGCUGGCUUUAUGAGGAGGCGUAGCUGGCUGGGAGGGCAGAAGUGGCAGGGUGGGAGCAUGCUGCUCACCUGCAGGGUUUCUGGGUGGAGCACGAGUGAGGUGUUGGUCAUGGGCCAUAAAGCUGUUCCUUGAUUUAGUGCCUGAGAGGCUGCUGAGCGCUCUGCCCGGCUCUCCUGCAACCCAUACACAGGGUGCCUUGAAAGCAGCAGGUGUGAGCCUUCCAAGCCUCUUCUACAUCUCAGAGACUGAAGCAGCUUCACAGAAAGGACUUGGAGGCUUGAGGCAAGGGUCCAGGGGUGUAGGAUGUAAAUAUCUAGUUAAAGCAAUUCAGUAUUUAUUGGAAGGGGGGGGAAAUUUGCCAAGCUUAGAGUUUUGAUUCUGCUGAUGGUAUUACUGAGUGUUUUGCAAGUGAUAUAAGUAGGCUUAUGGUGAGGCUGAAUAUGCCUUAUCACAGAUAAGCACUGAGAUGGCAUUUUGCAGCUGGCUGGGAGGCCUGAAGUUUAGUGUCAGGGCAUCGGUGCUGGAAGGAAAGAGCACCUAGAACAGCUGCUGCCCCAUCCACUCCAGAGCCUGCGGACGGAGCCAGAGAGGCUCUUCGUGUUCAGGAAGCUGUGCCCUGGUGAAAACAACAACAGAACCCACCGCUGCCUGUCCUCGGGGAUUGCAAGCCACAGCAGUGUUGGAUAACCUUGAACUGCAAGCCGGAUCCCAUGGCCUGAUGUGAACUCUGUUUAUCCCUGCAUGUUGCUUUUGUUCUGCCGUUCACUUAGAGUUGUGAACAUCAGGUUUUUUGUCAAAUACAUCUGCUUCUGAGAUGCCUAAGGUACCCCCACUUCAAAGAAAGCUUUUGUAGGCAGA